AGAGUUUGAUCAUGGCUCAGAUUGAACGCUGGCGGCAGGCCUAACACAUGCAAGUCGAGCGGUAGCACAGAGAGCUUGCUCUCGGGUGACGAGCGGCGGACGGGUGAGUAAUGUCUGGGAAACUGCCUGAUGGAGGGGGAUAACUACUGGAAACGGUAGCUAAUACCGCAUAACGUCGCAAGACCAAAGUGGGGGACCUUCGGGCCUCAUGCCAUCAGAUGUGCCCAGAUGGGAUUAGCUAGUAGGUGGGGUAACGGCUCACCUAGGCGACGAUCCCUAGCUGGUCUGAGAGGAUGACCAGCCACACUGGAACUGAGACACGGUCCAGACUCCUACGGGAGGCAGCAGUGGGGAAUAUUGCACAAUGGGCGCAAGCCUGAUGCAGCCAUGCCGCGUGUGUGAAGAAGGCCUUCGGGUUGUAAAGCACUUUCAGCGGGGAGGAAGGCGUUAAGGUUAAUAACCUUAGCGAUUGACGUUACCCGCAGAAGAAGCACCGGCUAACUCCGUGCCAGCAGCCGCGGUAAUACGGAGGGUGCAAGCGUUAAUCGGAAUUACUGGGCGUAAAGCGCACGCAGGCGGUCUGUCAAGUCGGAUGUGAAAUCCCCGGGCUCAACCUGGGAACUGCAUUCGAAACUGGCAGGCUAGAGUCUUGUAGAGGGGGGUAGAAUUCCAGGUGUAGCGGUGAAAUGCGUAGAGAUCUGGAGGAAUACCGGUGGCGAAGGCGGCCCCCUGGACAAAGACUGACGCUCAGGUGCGAAAGCGUGGGGAGCAAACAGGAUUAGAUACCCUGGUAGUCCACGCCGUAAACGAUGUCGAUUUGGAGGUUGUGCCCUUGAGGCGUGGCUUCCGGAGCUAACGCGUUAAAUCGACCGCCUGGGGAGUACGGCCGCAAGGUUAAAACUCAAAUGAAUUGACGGGGGCCCGCACAAGCGGUGGAGCAUGUGGUUUAAUUCGAUGCAACGCGAAGAACCUUACCUGGUCUUGACAUCCACAGAACUUUCCAGAGAUGGAUUGGUGCCUUCGGGAACUGUGAGACAGGUGCUGCAUGGCUGUCGUCAGCUCGUGUUGUGAAAUGUUGGGUUAAGUCCCGCAACGAGCGCAACCCUUAUCCUUUGUUGCCAGCGGUCCGGCCGGGAACUCAAAGGAGACUGCCAGUGAUAAACUGGAGGAAGGUGGGGAUGACGUCAAGUCAUCAUGGCCCUUACGACCAGGGCUACACACGUGCUACAAUGGCAUAUACAAAGAGAAGCGACCUCGCGAGAGCAAGCGGACCUCAUAAAGUAUGUCGUAGUCCGGAUUGGAGUCUGCAACUCGACUCCAUGAAGUCGGAAUCGCUAGUAAUCGUAGAUCAGAAUGCUACGGUGAAUACGUUCCCGGGCCUUGUACACACCGCCCGUCACACCAUGGGAGUGGGUUGCAAAAGAAGUAGGUAGCUUAACCUUCGGGAGGGCGCUUACCACUUUGUGAUUCAUGACUGGGGUGAAGUCGUAACAAGGUAACCGUAGGGGAACCUGCGGUUGGAUCACCU
rnacentral:rRNA from 1 species